rnacentral:rRNA from 1 species
CCCCAGACUCCUACGGGAGGCAGCAGUGGGGGAUAUUGCACAAUGGGGGGAACCCUGAUGCAGCGACGCCGCGUGGGUGAAGGAGCGUUUCGGCGCGUAAAGCCCUAUCGGCAGGGAAGAAGGAGGACGGUACCUGACUAAGAAGCCCCGGCUAACUACGUGCCAGCAGCCGCGGUAAUACGUAGGGGGCAAGCGUUAUCCGGAUUCACUGGGUGUAAAGGGAGCGUAGACGGCGACGCAAGUCUGGAGUGAAAGCCCGGGGCCCAACCCCGGGACUGCUCUGGAAACUGCGUCGCUGGAGUACGGGAGGGGCAGGCGGAAUUCCUGGUGUAGCGGUGAAAUGCGUAGAUAUUAGGAGGAACACCAGUGGCGAAGGCGGCUUACUGGACUGUAACUGACGUUGAGGCUCGAAAGCGUGGGGAGCAAACAGGAUUAGAUACCCGUGUA